GUACGGAAGGCAGCAGUAAGGAAUAUUGGACAAUGGUCGAAAGACUGAUCCAGCCAUGCCGCGUGCAGGAUGAAGGAGCUCAGCUCUGUAAACUGCUUUUGUUCGGGAAAAAACCCCUGCAUUCUUGCGGGGCUGAUUGUACUGAAAGAAUAAGGGACGGCUAACUUCGUGCCAGCAGCCGCGGUAAUACGAAGGUCCCAAGCGUUAUCCGGAUUUAUUGGGUUUAAAGGGUGCGUAGGCGGGUUAUUAAGUCAGUGGUGAAAGCUCCAUGCCUAACAUGGAAAUUGCCAUUGAUACUGAUGAUCUUGAGUACAUUUGAAGUGGGCGGAAUGUGUCAUGUAGCGGUGAAAUGCUUAGAUAUGACACAGAACACCGAUUGCGUAGGCAGCUCGCUAAACUGUAACUGACGCUGAGGCACGAAAGCGCGGGGAGCAAACAGGAUUAGAUACCCCGGU
rnacentral:rRNA from 1 species